GAAAGCAGCUGUUUUCCGCCCUAAUUUACUCGGGGUGUCUGUUCUGCACCCCACAGACAGUGGCCUUUAUCUCUUUUGGCUCGUUAUUCUGAUAGUUUACCUUCAUAUUUCUUUUUGAAUUAAAAAAAUUUUUUUAAUGUUUAUUUUUGAGAGAGAGACAGAGAGACAGAGUGUGAGCAGGGGAGGGGCAGAGAGAGAGGGAGACACAGAAUCCGAAGCGGGCUCCAGGCUCCCAGCUGUCAGCACAGAGCCCGACACAGGGUUUGAACUCACGGACCGCGAGAUCAUGACCUGAGCUGAAGUCGGACGCUCAACUGACUGAGCCACCCAGGCGCCCCUUCUCUUCAUAUUUCUAAAUAAAGGACUUAUUCUUUUAUUUCUUGAUUUUUCACUUUUAGGCAUUGUCUACUGAUAGUGACAAUUUAGCUCUGUUUUCUACCCCUUCCCCCCCUCCUCUCAACAUGGGGCAUCACAUUUUGCAGUGUUAAACCCGCACUCCGUGUGGACAUUGCCACGACAAUGUAAAUGUUUGUAGCUAAGCCACGCGGAGUCAUAGGAUUCCAUUUCUUUUCUUGUAGAACCUUUUAUUGGGCAGGGGGGAGGGAUUUAGUAAUUGCUGUAUUUGUGCGUUUGCUUAAUUUUGUUGGAGCUAGGUCUUACUGGCUCUUUUUUUUUUUUUUUUUUUUGCAUAAGAAAUUAUCUGAAUUAUACCAUAUAAUUCUCAUUUGCUUCUUGGGACCAAUCGAUAGUAUACGUGCAUUUUUUGAUGACUCUUGAGACCCAAUCAUGGGCACCUCUUGCCAAAUCUGUUCAGUGACUUCAUGCUGGUAGCUUAAUUUGGCUAUUUUGAGAGCAUCUGGGUGCCUCAGUCAAUUGAGUCCCCUCUUGAUUUCGGCUCAGGUCCUGACUCCAGGGUUGUGAGAUCGAGCCCCUAGUCAGGCUCUGUGCUCACAGCAGAGCCUGCUUGGGAUUCUCUCUCUCCCUCUCUCUCUCUGCCCCUCCACUGCUCUCUCUCUCUCUCUUAAAAAAAAAAAAAAGGCAAUAGUGGGAGUAUUUCUGCCAUUGAAAUCAGCAAAUGCUACAAAUCAGGGCUUUUUCUUUCUUUUUUCUCUUCAGAGAGGUGGUUUGCCAAUAUACUACUGAAUGCACCUAUCACUAACAUUUCUCUCAAAAUUCUCCAGUAGAGUUAUCAAAUUCCCACAGUAGAGUCAAACACAUUGUAUAACCUGCCUGCCAGGUUUUUCUCUGAAGACCUCUCUCCUGGAGAUUUUCUCUCUGUGGUCCAGUCCAGAAUGGCUGCUUUCUAGGACGGAUUCCCAGCCAUCCUUCUGGAGACUCUCACCACCUCUCGCCUGUGCUGGGUCACCUGCUUCGUCAUUCCUCAUCUUCCUCUUUCUUGGCUUCCUCGCUCAUUUUGGAGGAUGGCAUCCUCUAGGCGCUUCCUGGGAAAAGGCUGCGUAGAAGAUAAACAUUUUGGGGUCACCAUGCCCCCGGAUAUGUUUUUCUCCUGUCAACAUUUUUUAUUAAAAAAAAUUUUUUUUAAUGUUUUAUUUAUUUUUGAGACAGGGAGAGACAGAGCAUGAAUAGGGGAGGGUCAGAGAGAGGGAGACACAGAAUCCGAAACAGGCUCCAGGCUCUGAGCUGUCAGCACAGACCCCGACGCGGGGCUCAAACGCACGGACCGCGAGAUCAUGACCUGAGCCGAAGUCGGCCGCUUAACCGACUGAGCCACCCAGGCGCCCCUCUCCUAUCAACUUUGAUUGAGAUUUUGAUCCAGUUGCAUUUCUAGAAUGAUUCUCCCAGUAGAAUUAUUAUCCUUCCUCGAGAUAAAUCAAUCUCCUACGUCAUCAUAAUGCCGUUAUCGCACCUAAGGAAAAUGAGCAGUAAUUCCGUGAUUCAUCCAGCAUGUAGUGCAUAUUCAAAGUUCCCUGGUUGUUCAGAGAAGUUUUUCCAAUUGCCCACGCUUUUGGUUUUUGGUUUCAAACAAGGAUCCGGUACUGCAUUUGACUGUUACAUCUCAUUAGUCUUUGUCAGGGACGGUCUCCCCAUCUUAUUUUUUCUGAUAACACUGAAUGUUUGGCAACUAAGCCAGUUGUUUUGCAGAGCGUCCCACAUUCUGGAUUGUUCUCAUGGUAUCAUUAACUUGUCUACUUACUAUCACCUUUAUUUUCUGUAGACUGGAAGUUAAGUCCAGGACUGAGCUCUCCAGUAUGGUAGGCAUUGCGCAACUUAUGCUAAUGCAAGUGAGAAACUGAAUUUUAAUUUAAGUUGAAAUAAUUUGAAUCUAAAACUCAUGCUCCAUUUCAUUGUUGGAAAAAUGUUAAGUGCGCUUGGAAAAACUUAGGUAUGCAACGCUUCCUUUUUCAGUGGUAAAUUUUAUGAAAUCUAAAUACAGAUCAAGCAUUUCCAAUGAAAACUCAUCAUCUGAAUUGAAAUGUGCUUUAAAAAAUUUUUUUAAAUGUCUUUUUAUUUAUUUUUGAGACAGAGAGAGACAGAGCAUGAACAGGGGAGGGGCAGGGAGAGAGGGAGACGCAGAAUCUGAAGCAGGCUCCAGGCUCUGAGCUGUCAGCACAGAGCCCGACGCGGGGCUCGAACUCACAGACUGUGAGAUCGUGACCUGAGCUGAAGUCGGAUGCUUAACCCACUGAGCCACCCAGGCACCCCGAAAUGUGCACACUGGAUUUUGAAGACUCACUACAAAAAAAGAAGGUAAGAAACACUAAGUCAACUGGAGAAGCAUAUGUGGCCUUGAGCUAUGGGACAUUACUUCCCUUUAACACCGCUACUGAGAAAUGUUGAACCUCACUUUGGUGUAGUCAGUGUUGGUCUUCGACAGUGAAUGGAUACACCGCCAGGUCUGUUGUGGGGCUCAAGAUUCUGCAUUUCUAGCAAGCUCCAGCCAGUGCUGAUACUGCUAAUGUUGGGACCACGCUUUGAAUAGUAAGUAAAAUAGAUUUAGCUUUGACUUGCAUAUAAGAGGGGCAUGUAAAAGUGUGAAUUCUCACAUGUAAAAGCGAGAAUAAUCAUAGCAGUAUGCCAAGAACAAUGUAAAUGUAAGCAAUGGAAGUGUCUGGAAUGGGAGAAUGGGUAAAUUAAUUGUGGCGAAGUCAGCAAUAACAUAUAUAUCAUCAGUGCAAGUGAACUAGAUUAACAUCAAUGUGCAUGACUUUUACAAUAAUUUUAAUAUUUUUUACAUAAUUUGAAACAAAAUGUAAAUUGCGCAAAAAUAUGUAAAGUGUUUAUAUAAAGCUUAAAAUUAUACAAAACAACACUAUGCAUGUAGCAAUGCAUAUAAAGUAGUAAAAACAUAAAGGUCCACCUAGAAAUAAUAAUACCAAAUUCAGGAAAAUAUUUCCUCUUGUGGGGAGGGAGAGGUAUGUGACUGAGGACAGGCAACCAGGAAGAUUCUAUUCUACUUUAAUUAAAAAAAAUUUUUUUUUAACGUUUAUUUAUUUUUGAGACAGAGAGAGCAUGAACG